CCUCGACGCCGUUCAGGAGCUCGUCGAAUCGAGCAGCCGGAGGGGCGCAAACGUCGCGUCUCGGAGCAGCACGCUCCAGCGCCGUCUUGAUCUGCUCCGACUAAUCUGCCACCACCAUCAUCGUCAUCAAGGUCACCCCACAUCCUGGCGUCUGCCCGUGGAGGCCCCCUCGCGCCCAUUUGGCACACCAAGGGCUCCGGGGAUUCUCGGAAGCUAAUAGGGGCAGUCGUGCAGCAGUCAGGCUUCUCGCUAGUGAUGGUUGGCAGAAUAUAUGAUAGUGUCCUCUUGAAGAACUCGUUAAUGGUGGUACUCGGCAGGAGAGGUUCCUGUACUUUAUUAGGUGUGUUUCUUUGCCUCUGUUCUCUGGGAUGACUUGCUGACCACAAGGAGCUCCCCUGGCCCUUGCGGGUAAUUAAUCUACCUGCCUGUAUAUAGCUAGGCAUUGCGAUGAAAAAGCCGCCGAAGCAGCAGGAGGAUUUUUCGAAGCUGCUCUCAUGAGAGAAACGUUUUCGAGGAGCAUGAUACCACAGAGGUGGCCUUUUCUUCUUCGACUCCAUGUGCUUGCCGUGAGUUUCUGGUUCUCCCCUGUGUCCUCUACAUUCCAGGUGAUAGACCAUGGACAUGGAGCUGUUUCUAUUUGGGCAAGCAUAUACUUUGUAUUGCUGUUACAAAUGGCGCGCUGGGUUGUAGAAAGCAUGUAUUGCUGUUUGCAAUAUGUUUGUGAGUAUACGUUUUUAGCAUUAAUUGUUGUCUGUUGCAUAUGGGCAGACUUGAUUUGUUGCCGUUUGUUGUGAAUGGCCCGAUGGGUGUUUGUUCUAUCUGUUCUUCACCAUUUAAAAAAAUGCUUCGUUUCCAGGGUGUGUUUGUGUGUGUUCGUUAUGCAUCUGACCUUUGGUGAAAUAGCAAUGUGCAUCUGCCAAACUGGUUUUUUGAGUCUGCUAUGUGCAUGCCCUGCUAAGAAAAUUGAACGGUGUCUUUUAUUGUCUUGUCUAGUCCAUUAUUGUGUGCAGUUUUAUUUUUUCUAUGUGUUUGAUUUAAAAAUGUAGAAAGAGGCAACCAAUGAGAGCUGAGUCCCAAAACGAAUUCUGGAGUCGAAAGAGUGAUUGCAAGAUAUACUAAUGGUCACUCAUGAACCGUAUGGAAUGGUUUUGCUUUUGCUCAUAUUCGUUGCAUCGUAUGUACAAUAGUGGUGGUGUAAGUAAUUUUUACCUGCACUAGAAAGUGGCAUUCUUGUGUUGGAAGCAUGGUGUGUGAAACUUGUAUGGUUAUCACCGGUGACUGUCUCUGUUUCGUCACGUGAAUGAUUUGUCUU